rnacentral:lncRNA from 1 species
AAUAGGGAACAUGCUCGCUAGGAUAUCGCAUCCUAUGCCUACGUAUCUUCUCUAUCCAAAGAAGAAUCAGAGCACUCGUAGCUCGGCUAACGCACGCCGAAACAAAACACCGAAAAGAGACACUGAGACGUCAAAAGAAACACUCAAAAGGAAACAGAAUACCAAUACAUGGACUUAUAUCCGACUCCAAACAAUAGCACACGCUAACCAGCGAACACCAAAGAAAAAGGUUAUCAGAUUGACAAACU